UGCGACAGUUGAGAAUCCGAAUGCCCACACACCCACUUUCCCUCUUGAAAAAGCUAGCCACUUUCAACACGCACACACAUUCUCUCUUUCUCUGAACCCCGCAUUGAAGCCACUCACCAACUCUACCAAGUACCAUCCUGUUAUCCCAGAGAGAGAUAUAGGAGCAAACGUUUCUUACUGGCCAGAAAAACACCAAAAGAACUUACUUCAAACAUGCCAGGGGAUGAUAUUGAAAGAGGAGGAGGAGGAGGAGUGAAGAGCAGAACAAAUAACAGCUACCCAUCAUCGUCUUCCUCUUAUUUGAUCGAAGAAAAUGAAACCCAAUGGACCUCGUGGCUCCCGCCC
rnacentral:misc_RNA from 1 species